rnacentral:miRNA from 1 species
UCUAGCCUGGUCCAUAUGAUACU